GUGUGUAUGGCAGCACAUAUACUAAAAUUGAAAUGAUACAGGAAAGAUUAACAUGUCUCCUGCACAAG
rnacentral:snRNA from 1 species